CAUGAUCUCCUAUGCAAAUUUUGUUUAUAUUACGAAUUCGAGCUAUUUCGUGAGGAUUUUGAACCAUUGAGCCACUGAACCGUAACCUUUCUACUUCUUGUUCUUUUGAAAGACUUUCGGGCUUGUGGUCUUCCUCCAAUAACGGUAAACUUUCAUUCCCGGCAUUUGAUCCAUGAUCACUUUCUCCAGAAGGGGUGGAUGGUUCAGGUUUCUCCGUAGAAGGCGUCGAAGGCUCAGUUUUUGAAGGUGCUGUAAUCGAUCGUCGUCUGUCAACAGCUUUUGGACGUUUUGAGGAUUUUCCUUUUCCAUGAGCCUUUUUUGGCUUCUCCGGCGGUGGAUACUCAAUUCCUUUCGAUAAAUCAAUAUUAUCUAUUGUAAUCCAUUCAUCUAAACGUUUAUUGUAGUCAUUAUAGUGUACAUAGUAGACGACGCCUCUAGUUCUUUUUUGAAUCAUUAAAAUCUCCGCCUUUCGAUAUUCUCCAUCCUUAAAUGCAAAGACUUUGGAUUUAUAAACUAUGUCUUUAGCCUCAUAAGACUUUGUUUCAAUCUUGGACUCAUCAUCAACAUCAUUCG